GUCCACGCCCUAAACGAUGUCGACUAGUUGUUCGGGAAGGUGACUUCUUGAGUAACGUAGCUAACGCUUGAAGUCGACCGCCUGGGGAGUACGGCCGCAAGGUUAAAACUCAAAUGAAUUGACGGGGACCCGCACAAGCGGUGGAUGAUGUGGAUUAAUUCGAUGCAACGCGAAAACCUUACCUACCCUUGACAUGUCUGGAAGUCUGCAGAGAUGCGGAUGUGCCUUCGGGAACCAGAACACAGGUGCUGCAUGGCUGUCGU
rnacentral:rRNA from 1 species